rnacentral:rRNA from 1 species
GACGAACGCUGGCGGCGCGCCUAACACAUGCAAGUCGAACGGAGCUGAGAGAAGCUUGCUUUCUUAGCUUAGUGGCGAACGGGUGGGUAACGCGUGAGUAACCUGCCCUGGAGUGGGGGACAACAGUUGGAAACGACUGCUAAUACCGCAUAAGCCCACAGCUCGGCAUCGAGCAGAGGGAAAAGGAGUGAUCCGCUUUGAGAUGGCCUCGCGUCCGAUUAGCUGGUUGGUGAGGUAACGGCCCACCAAGGCGACGAUCGGUAGCCGGACUGAGAGGUUGAACGGCCACAUUGGGACUGAGACACGGCCCAGACUCCUACGGGAGGCAGCAGGUGGGGAAUAUUGCACAAUGGGGGAAACCCUGAUGCAGCGACGCCGCGUGGAGGAAGAAGGUCUUCGGAUUGUAAACUCCUGUUGUUGAGGAAGAUAAUGACGGUACUCAACAAGGAAGUGACGGCUAACUACGUG